CUGUUUGGAUUUAGUUUAGGUUCAAAAGAGCACGCACAGAUCCUGAGUGUUGUCAAGCACCCGUGACUGGGAAACGGAGGCGUCCGAUCCGUAUUGGAGUCAAUUCGCCACUUAAUUGUUUCAGGGGUUACUCCAUCAUUAUCAUGGCAGGGAACAUGGCAGGAUGCAGGCAGAUGGUAGCUGAGAGUUCUACAUCUGGAUCCACAGUCUAAAGGUGACAUGUGGCACUAGAGAGCAUGCCUCUUUUUUUGUGCUGCUCUGCAACCUUUCGGCAUCUGAGAAGAUUGUUCUAGUGUUGCGGUUUACAUGUGGUCACUGCAGGACUCCGGCCAGCCAUUCCCAGGAAAAACCCUUUGAAAAGAUUCAGCACGUUGCCAUGGAGAACAUCCCACUGAAGGAAUGUAUAGAAGUAGCAGGUGUCAGCUGCCUACCAGUUGCUUUCAUCUCUAGAAAUCUGUGACUUGCAGUAUGACAAGAACAAAAGGUGACAAUACAAAGGACAAAGGGCAAGGAAUACAGACGGAGAAGCCGCUUAGAGUCUAGGAUGGCAGAGGUUCUCUUGAUCAUUUCAUUUUUGAGCGCUUGUAGAGCUUUGGUGUACCAGAGGUGCUUGAACAGCUUACCACACCACAGAUGAAUGGCCUUUGGAUUUCUCCUAAGAAAAUGGGUUGAACCGAACUGGCGAUGCACUGUCUGGAUUGGAUGCAUGUAUGGUCUUACAUGACCCCCAUGAAAGGUUCAUUCAACCCCCCAAAGGGGUUGUGACCCACAGAUUGAGAACCGCUGGUACAGAAGAUCUUCACAUCACCUGAGAGCUUGCCUUGGAAGAAAUUGCAAAAGUUUUGUCUUUCUCAAAGGCUUCUUGCUUGGAAGUUCUUUUUUCACACAGGUAUCCACCAUGCAGUGGCACGUAUAAGAAGACCAUCACCAGACCUAGUGAGGCCAAUGUCACAGCCUUGAGAAAUAUCCAGAACGAUGAGUGAAGCCAACCUUGUUUUACUUUUCCCAUGAUGCUAGCUUGUCUCAGGUUCACUGCAGCAAUAUCUCAAGAAGCUUACGAUGCGCACACACGAGUCAGUACACGUACCAAUGGCGUUUAUUAAAUCCCUCUGCUAAGCAUCUGC
rnacentral:lncRNA from 1 species